rnacentral:ncRNA from 1 species
AAAAAAAAAAAUCAGGCGAAGGAAAAGCAAUUUUAUAUAAAUUUCAAAUAAACACCGCUGAUCCGGGCCCGCCCCCUUGGUUGCCGGUAGCUAGAUAAAUUUUUUUUUAUUAUCAUUGGCUUUUUAAUUAAAAUUUUUCUUGACUGAUUAGUCCUAUUCAUUUUGUUUUUAUUGGCUUUAAGUCCGCAAUGCUAACGCGGGAGCGGACAGGGGAUUAUUUAUUUUUCAGUCUUUUAACAUACAUCCCCAACUCAAAAGUUGUCCCUAUCUACUAUCUAGCGAAACCACAGCCAAGGAAACGGGCUUGGAAAAAUCAGCGGGAAAGAAGACCCUGUGAGCUUGACUCUAGUCUGACUCUGUGAAGAGACAUGAGAGGUGUAGCAUAAGUGG